UGCGCAGGCGGGCUUGUAAGUCAGUGGUGAAAUACUGCCGCUUAACGGUAGAACUGCCAUUGAUACUGCAAGUCUUGAAUAUGGUUGAGGUAGGCGGAAUGUGUCGUGUAGCGGUGAAAUGCAUAGAUAUGACACAGAACGCCGAUUGCGAAGGCAGCUUACUAAGCCAUUAUUGACGCUGAGGCACGAAAGCGUGGGGAGCGAACAGGAUUAGAUACCCUGGUAGUCC
rnacentral:rRNA from 1 species